rnacentral:lncRNA from 1 species
AUUCAUCCAGGUCAGAUUACCACCAGAGGGCGUCUGACAGCUCAUUCCCUGGGGAUGUCAGCUGAGCCACGGCACCUGCUGACCUGCCCCGGGGCGGCGGAAAUAGGGGAAAGGGCACUAGAGAGAGAAAGCCAAGGACGUGACCAGGUGACAAAUGGACAAGAAGAGGAAGAAAGACAGAUUCUGCCCAUGUCCACAGGCCCUGGGAUUAGGGCUGCGUGGGGUAGAUGCUCCAGGAGCAGCAAGCCAUGGGGGCUAAGAGAGGGCAGGGAAGAGAAAGUGGAAGGAGCCCUUCUCCUCUCCUGCCAUCCGUCCUCCCUGCUGGAACUUUGACUCCAACACAGAAUGGCCUUUGAAAAAGGAAACACCAGGAGUUCCCUGGUGGCACAGCCAGGUUAAGGAUCCAGUGUUGUCACUGUGGGUUCGAUCCUUGGGCUGGGAACUUCCAUAUACCACAGAAGAAACCAAAAAGAUUAAAAAUAAAUAAAUAAAAUUUUUUUAAAAAGAAAAAGAAAAAGGAAAAAC